rnacentral:rRNA from 1 species
UACGUAGGGCGCAAGCGUUGUCCGGAAUUAUUGGGCGUAAAGAGCUCGUAGGCGGUUUGUCGCGUCGGAUGUGAAAGCCCGGGGCUUAACCCCGGGUCUGCAUUCGAUACGGGCAGACUGGAGUGUGGUAGGGGAGAUCGGAAUUCCUGGUGCAGCGGUGAAAUGCGCAGAUAUCAGGAGGAACACCGGUGGCGAAGGCGGUUCUCUGGGCAUUACCUGACGCUGAGGAGCGAAAGUGUGGGGAGCGAACAGG